CCUACGGGAGACUGCAGUAGGGAAUCUUUCACAAUGGGCGAAAGCCUGAUGGAGCAACGCCGCGUGCAGGAUGAAGGCCUUCGGGUUGUAAACUGCUUUUAUAAGCGAGAAAUAUGAUGGUAACUUAUGAAUAAGGAUCGGCUAACUACGUGCCAGCAGCCGCGGUCAUACGUAGGAUCCAAGCAUUAUCCGGAGUGACUGGGUGUAAAGAGUUGCGUAGGUGGCAUAAUAAGUAGCUAGUGAAAUCUGGUGGCUCAACCAUUCAGACUAUUAGCUAAACUGUUAAGCUCGAGACCGUUAGGGGUAACUGGAAUUUCUAGUGUAGGAGUGAAAUCCGUAGAUAUUAGAAGGAACACCAAUAGCGUAGGCAGGUUGCUGGGACGGUUCUGACACUAAGGCACGAAAGCGUAGGGAGCAAACGGGAUUAGAUACCCGUGUAGUC
rnacentral:rRNA from 1 species